rnacentral:rRNA from 1 species
GGGGAAUAUUGCGCAAUGGGGGAAACCCUGACGCAGCGACGCCGUGUGAGGGAAGAAGGCUUUCGGGUCGUAAACCUCUGUCAAGAAGGAAGAACCUCUCAAGGCUGAACAAGCCUUGGGACUGACGGUACUUCCAGAGGAAGCACCGGCUAACUCCGUGCCAGCAGCCGCGGUAAUACGGAGGGUGCAAGCGUUAAUCGGAAUCACUGGGCGUAAAGCGCGCGUAGGCCGUCUUUUAAGUCGGACGUGAAAGCCCUCGGCUCAACCGGGGAACUGCGUUCGAUACUGGGAGACUUGAGUCCUGGAGAGGGUGGCGGAAUUCCGGGUGUAGGAGUGAAAUCCGUAGAUAUCCGGAGGAACACCGGUGGCGAAGGCGGCCACCUGGACAGGUACUGACGCUGAGGCACGAAAGCGUGGGGAGCAAACA